GACGAACGCUGGCGGCGUGCCUAAUACAUGCAAGCCGAGCGCAGGAAGCUGAGGGAACUCUUCGGAGGGAAGGCAGUGGAAUGAGCGGCGGACGGGUGAGUAACACGUAAGGAACCUGCCUCAAGGAUUGGGAUAACUCCGAGAAAUCGGAGCUAAUACCGGAUAGUUCAUCGGACCGCAUGGUCCGUUGAUGAAAGGCGCUUCGGCGUCACCUUGAGAUGGCCUUGCGGUGCAUUAGCUAGUUGGUGGGGUAACGGCCCACCAAGGCGACGGAGCAUAGCCGACCUGAGAGGGUGGUCGGCCCACAUGGGGAUUAGACACGGCCCAGACUCCUACGGGAGGCAGCAGUAGGGAAUCUUCCAAAAUGGACGAAAGUCUGAUGGAGCAACGCCGCGUGAGUGAUGGAGGUCUUCGGAUCGUAAAACUCUGUUGUAAGGGAAGAACACGUACGAGAGGGAAUGCUCGUACCUUGACGGUACCUUACGAGAAAGCCACGGCUAACUACGUGCCAGCCGCCGCAGUAACAC
rnacentral:rRNA from 1 species